rnacentral:rRNA from 2 species
UCUGGCGACAGUAGCGCGGUGGUCCCACCUGACCCCAUGCCGAACUCAGAAGUGAAACGCCGUAGCGCCGAUGGUAGUGUGGGGUCUCCCCAUGCGAGAGUAGGGAACUGCCAGAC